rnacentral:lncRNA from 1 species
CGUGCCCCUAUCAUAAAUGGAAAACAGAUAUCUUCCCUGUUCUUAGUAACUGCAGUAGUGUCUCUGAGGAGAGGAGAUCUGGAUACAGAUACACACAGAGAGAAGAUGAUAAGGAGACCCAGGAGGAAGGCGGCCAUCUACAAGCCAAGGAGAGAGAAUGCAGAAGAAACCAAUCCUGUCAACACCUUCAACCUAGCCUCCAGCAUUGUGCAGG